rnacentral:rRNA from 1 species
CGGGUGAGUAACACGUGGGUGACCUGCCCUCCACUCUGGGAUAAGCCCGGGAAACUGGGUCUAAUACCGGAUAGGACCACUGAUCGCAUGGUUGGUGGUGGAAAGUUUUUUCGGUGGGGGAUGGGCCCGCGGCCUAUCAGCUUGUUGGUGGGGUGAUGGCCUACCAAGGCGGUGACGGGUAGCCGGCCUGAGAGGGCGACCGGCCACACUGGGACUGAGACACGGCCCAGACUCCUACGGGAGGCAGCAGUGGGGAAUAUUGCGCAAUGGGCGGAAGCCUGACGCAGCGACGCCGCGUGGGGGAUGACGGCCUUCGGGUUGUAAACCUCUUUCGCCAGGGACGAAGAGCAAUUGACGGUACCUGGAGAAGAAGCACCGGCCAACUACGUGCCAGCAGCCGCGGUAACACGUAGGGUGCGAGCGUUGUCCGGAAUUAUUGGGCGUAAAGAGCUCGUAGGCGGUGUGUCGCGUCGGCCGUGAAAACUUGGGGCUUAACUCUGAGCGUGCGGUCGAUACGGGCAUCACUUGAGUUCGGCAGGGGAGACUGGAAUUCCUGGUGUAGCGGUGAAAUGCGCAGAUAUCAGGAGGAACACCGGUGGCGAAGGCGGGUCUCUGGGCCGAUACUGACGCUGAGGAGCGAAAGCGUGGGGAGCGAACAGGAUUAGAUACCCUGGUAGUCCACGCCGUAAACGUUGGGCGCUAGGUGUGGGGACCAUUCCACGGUUUCUGUGCCGCAGCUAACGCAUUAAGCGCCCCGCCUGGGGAGUACGGCCGCAAGGCUAAAACUCAAAGGAAUUGACGGGGCCCGCA